UACAGAGGUCCCAAGCGUUGUUCGGAUUCACUGGGCGUAAAGGGUGCGUAGGCGGUUUGUACAGUCAGAUGUGAAAUUCCUGGGCUCAACCUGGGGGCUGCAUUUGAUACGUAUGGACUGGAGUGAGGAAGAGGGUCGCGGAAUUCCCAGUGUAGAGGUGAAAUUCGUAGAUAUUGGGAAGAACACCGGUGGCGAAGGCGGCGACCUGGUCCUUUACUGACGCUGAGGCGCGAAAGCGUGGGGAGCAAACAGG
rnacentral:rRNA from 1 species